rnacentral:lncRNA from 1 species
GAGACCUGCUGCCCUCUUCUAGAGUAUCUGAAGAUAGCUACAGUGUACUUACAUGCAAUAAAUAAAUUUUAAAAAGAACAUUACUAAAAAAAAACGCCUCAGAAGACUUUCUGCUUUCUCAUUUUAUUAAACACUUGGGAAAAUAUCUCUCAGGAUGAAGAAGUGUCACAACAGAUUAUACAGGAUUUUUUGAUCACCUCUAACUAAGAUGACUCAGAUGCAAUAUUGCUUAAAACAAGCUAGGUGAUUUCAUUCACUGAACUUUCUAAGUCAUUACAAAGCUAUGUUUCAUAAGGUAGGUUUAUGCCUUACAGCUACAAUAAAACCUACAUUGUAUAUUUAUAAUA